UGGUUAAGGUAAUUACGUUUGGUUUAGUCCCACACGGAAAGAUUAACAAGAUUCCCUCGGUAACGAGGAGUAUAUAACUAGAGGAGUCCGGCCUUUGAACAUACUUACCUGGACGGGGUUUAUGGGUGAUCAAAAAGGCUCAUGACCUAGAUUAAUGGCUCACAUUGCACAUAGUGAAUGUGUUGAUCUACCAUCUCCUUUGGGAGAGUGGACGUCAAAAUUUAUGUUAGAGGGGUAUGCGUUCGCGCGGCCCCUGC
rnacentral:sRNA from 1 species